rnacentral:rRNA from 1 species
UCCGGAGGGGGCUAUCGUUGUUCGGAAUUACUGGGCGUAAAGCGCACGUAGGCGGGUCGCUAAGUCGGGGGUGAAAUCCUGGGGCUCAACCUCAGAACUGCCUUCGAUACUGGCGACCUUGAGUACGGGAGAGGUGAGUGGAAUUCCCAGUGUAGAGGUGAAAUUCGUAGAUAUUGGGAAGAACACCAGUGGCGAAGGCGGCUCACUGGCCCGUAACUGACGCUGAGGUGCGAAAGCGUGGGGAGAAAACAGG